AUUGAACGCUGGCGGCAUGCUUUACACAUGCAAGUCGAACGGUAACAGGUUAAGCUGACGAGUGGCGAACGGGUGAGUAAUGCAUCGGAACGUGCCCGGUCGUGGGGGAUAACACUUCGAAAGAAGUGCUAAUACCGCAUACGAUCUGAGGAUGAAAGCGGGGGACCGUAAGGCCUCGCGCGAUCGGAGCGGCCGAUGUCAGAUGAGGUAGUUGGUGGGGUAAAGGCUCACCAAGCCGACGAUCCGUAGCUGGUCUGAGAGGACGACCAGCCACACUGGGACUGAGACACGGCCCAGACUCCUACGGGAGGCAGCAGUGGGGAAUUUUGGACAAUGGGCGCAAGCCUGAUCCAGCAAUGCCGCGUGCAGGAAGAAGGCCUUCGGGUUGUAAACUGCUUUUGUACGGAGCGAAAAGGCUCUCUCUAAUACAGGGGGCUCAUGACGGUACCGUAAGAAUAAGCACCGGCUAACUACGUGCCAGCCGCCGCGGUAA
rnacentral:rRNA from 1 species